rnacentral:rRNA from 1 species
GGUUAAGCGACUAAGCGUACACGGUGGAUGCCCUGGCAGUCAGAGGCGAUGAAGGACGUGCUAAUCUGCGAAAAGCGUCGGUAAGGUGAUAUGAACCGUUAUAGCCGGCGAUGUCCGAAUGGGGAAACCCAGUGCAAUUCGUUGCACUAUCGUUAACUGAAUACAUAGGUUAACGAGGCGAACCGGGGGAACUGAAACAUCUAAGUACCCCGAGGAAAAGAAAUCAACCGAGAUUCCCCCAGUAGCGGCGAGCGAACGGGGAGCAGCCCGGAGUCUGAAUCAGCUUGUGUGUUAGUGGAAGCGUCUGGAAAGUCGCAGGGUACAGGGUGAUACUCCCGUACACUAAAACACACAGGCUGUGAACUCGAAGAGUAGGGCGGGACACGUGGUAUCCUGUCUGAAUAUGGGGGGACCAUCCUCCAAGGCUAAAUACUCCUGACUGACCGAUAGUGAACCAGUACCGUGAGGGAAAGGCGAAAAGAACCCCGGCGAGGGGAGUGAAAAAGAACCUGAAACCGUGUACGUACAAGCAGUAGGAGCCCACUAGUUGGGUGACUGCGUACCUUUUGUAUAAUGGGUCAGCGACUUAUAUUCUGUAGCAAGGUUAACCGAAUAGGGGAGCCGCAGGGAAACCGAGUCUUAACUGGGCGUUAAGUUGCAGGGUAUAGACCCGAAACCCGGUGAUCUAGCCAUGGGCAGGUUGAAGGUUGGGUAACACUAACUGGAGGACCGAACCGACUAAUGUUGAAAAAUUAGCGGAUGACUUGUGGCUGGGGGUGAAAGGCCAAUCAAACCGGGAGAUAGCUGGUUCUCCCCGAAAGCUAUUUAGGUAGCGCCUCGUGAACUCAUCUUCGGGGGUAGAGCACUGUUUCGGCUAGGGGGUCAUCCCGACUUACCAACCCGAUGCAAACUACGAAUACCGAAGAAUGUUAUCACGGGAGACACACGGCGGGUGCUAACGUCCGUCGUGAAGAGGGAAACAACCCAGACCGCCAGCUAAGGUCCCAAAGUCAUGGUUAAGUGGGAAACGAUGUGGGAAGGCCCAGACAGCCAGGAUGUUGGCUUAGAAGCAGCCAUCAUUUAAAGAAAGCGUAAUAGCUCACUGGUCGAGUCGGCCUGCGCGGAAGAUGUAACGGGGCUAAACCAUGCACCGAAGCUGCGGCAGCGACACUAUGUGUUGUUGGGUAGGGGAGCGUUCUGUAAGCCGUUGAAGGUGGCCUGUGAGGGUUGCUGGAGGUAUCAGAAGUGCGAAUGCUGACAUAAGUAACGAUAAUGCGGGUGAAAAACCCGCACGCCGGAAGACCAAGGGUUCCUGUCCAACGUUAAUCGGGGCAGGGUGAGUCGACCCCUAAGGCGAGGCCGAAAGGCGUAGUCGAUGGGAAACAGGUUAAUAUUCCUGUACUUGGUGUUACUGCGAAGGGGGGACGGAGAAGGCUAUGUUGGCCGGGCGACGGUUGUCCCGGUUUAAGCAUGUAGGCGGAUGUUCCAGGUAAAUCCGGAACGUUACUAACGCUGAGGUGUGAUGACGAGGCACUACGGUGCUGAAGUGACAAAUGCCCUGCUUCCAGGAAAAGCCUCUAAGCAUCAGGUAACAUCAAAUCGUACCCCAAACCGACACAGGUGGUCAGGUAGAGAAUACCAAGGCGCUUGAGAGAACUCGGGUGAAGGAACUAGGCAAAAUGGUGCCGUAACUUCGGGAGAAGGCACGCUGAUGGUAAGUGAAGUGACUUGCUCAUGGAGCUGAAAUCAGUCGAAGAUACCAGCUGGCUGCAACUGUUUAUUAAAAACACAGCACUGUGCAAACACGAAAGUGGACGUAUACGGUGUGACGCCUGCCCGGUGCCGGAAGGUUAAUUGAUGGGGUUAUCCUCGCGGAGAAGCUCUUGAUCGAAGCCCCGGUAAACGGCGGCCGUAACUAUAACGGUCCUAAGGUAGCGAAAUUCCUUGUCGGGUAAGUUCCGACCUGCACGAAUGGCGUAAUGAUGGCCAGGCUGUCUCCACCCGAGACUCAGUGAAAUUGAACUCGCUGUGAAGAUGCAGUGUACCCGCGGCAAGACGGAAAGACCCCGUGAACCUUUACUAUAGCUUGACACUGAACACUGGUCCUUGAUGUGUAGGAUAGGUGGGAGGCUUUGAAGUGUGGACGCCAGUCUGCAUGGAGCCAUCCUUGAAAUACCACCCUUUAAUGGCUGGUGUUCUAACGUGGGCCCGUGAUCCGGGUUGCGGACAGUGUCUGGUGGGUAGUUUGACUGGGGCGGUCUCCUCCUAAAGAGUAACGGAGGAGCACGAAGGUCAGCUAAUCCUGGUCGGACAUCAGGAGGUUAGUGCAAUGGCAUAAGCUGGCUUGACUGCGAGCGUGACGGCGCGAGCAGGUGCGAAAGCAGGUCAUAGUGAUCCGGUGGUUCUGAAUGGAAGGGCCAUCGCUCAACGGAUAAAAGGUACUCCGGGGAUAACAGGCUGAUACCGCCCAAGAGUUCAUAUCGACGGCGGUGUUUGGCACCUCGAUGUCGGCUCAUCACAUCCUGGGGCUGAAGUAGGUCCCAAGGGUAUGGCUGUUCGCCAUUUAAAGUGGUACGCGAGCUGGGUUUAGAACGUCGUGAGACAGUUCGGUCCCUAUCUGCCGUGGGCGCUGGAGAAUUGAGGGGGGCUGCUCCUAGUACGAGAGGACCGGAGUGGACGCAUCACUGGUGUUCGGGUUGUCAUGCCAAUGGCAUUGCCCGGUAGCUAAAUGCGGAAGAGAUAAGUGCUGAAAGCAUCUAAGCACGAAACUUGCCCCGAGAUGAGUUCUCCCUGACUCCUUGAGAGUCCUGAAGGAACGUUGAAGACGACGACGUUGAUAGGCCGGGUGUGUAAGCGCAGCGAUGCGUUGAGCUAACCGGUACUAAUGAACCGUGAGGCUUAACCUU